AUUAUUUCUCAAAUGAAACCCCAUUCAUUCAAGCCACACUGUGGCUUAAUACACAGAGCCAGUAUCAAGGCCAGCAUACUUCUUCAUGACGUGACAUCCAGCCAGGAAACUGGACCUUAAUUUAUUUGUCAGGGACAUUGAACAACAUGCCAACGCACCAGACGUAUCGGUAGUCCUGACCACUAGGGGUUCAUUAAACACCUUGCUUCUACACAGUGGUUAAAGUUUAACCAGCCAGCAGCACUCUAACAAAGACACUGCCGUUACUCCCCUAUGCAGAGAAGGCCUGCAGGAAAUAGCGCUAUAGCCUCAGAAAACUACUGGAUAUUACCAUGCUGUGAAUAUCACCAUGACUUUGGCCUGAACCACCUCAGAAGAUAAGUGUAACAGAUGGAUUGUGCAAAUACAGUGGCUCGUCACUGAUGCGACCCCUGGAUGUAUCCUGGCCAUGAGCGUAGGUACACCACCCUGGCAGCCCCAUCUGCUGCUGGGCGGGUAGAUCAUCGGUCACUCCAGCAUGGAGGUUGGUCAGUGUGCCCCUCUCCCCAGGCAGCACACCUUGGAACAUCCAUCAUCUCUCUGUCACUGUGUUACUGCUGGGAGGCAUGAAAUCCCACCACCACCACCACCACCCACCCUGCUCCACUGAACUGCUACAGAACCUGCUGUGGUACUCUCACACACACACAACCUUCACCUACAGAGAGGCUGGGAUCAGGGUGAAUAGAAUGGAGGGUAAGGUUGUUCCAAUACCCAAAUAACCACGGUCAUAAAGACAUCAUUGAGCAGUCUAAGGCCAACUGAAUCAUAACAUGGUGAGAUUGACUAUACCAUAAACAGUUCAGCCUAGCUAAGUGCCAGCCCCAUUACGAGCAAAACAAAUUGAGUGGUUUGACCCCUAACUGUAAUUAAAUCUAGCAACAAGAUUAGGCUACCUGUCAAACUAAAAUAUUCAUAAAACAAUCAUAGCAUCGAGCAGGGCUAAUCAACUGGCAAGAUUCAGCACAUUUAUCCAUUUUUAAAAAUGGCCCUUUGAUCAAUUCUGAACAUAUUUUUUUUUGAGCCAUACCAUUUUUUUUUACUGUAGUUCUGCCCAUUAACGCUGUGAAUCAAUACCAGUUACAGCCUAUCAGUGCUGCUAACAUCAGCCAAUCGGAGCUCCAAACAUCUGGCAAUGCCAUUGUACCAGUCCGCCGCCUCAGCCAAGCUAUUUUACAAGCUGGAUAGAAAAUUUUACAAACAUUUAGCACAGAGAAUGUAAGCUGACAAAAUGUCCCCUCAAUUCAAAACGAAAUAAAGUUGGAUGAUGAUAAUCGCUAUCGGUUCUUUCAACAAAGAUGAGAUCGCUACACCAUGCUUAACUCAGCGGUGUGUUAAAAAACACCAUGGACUCAGUCAGGCCUAUCCUAAACUUCAUCCGAUUAACAUCUGGCUUGCAACAUGGCUUAUUUUGUAGUCUGCUGAAAGACAUGUCUGCUAAGCAUCAUGAUCUACGUUUACAUCAUGCUGUUAGGUGGCUAUGCAAGGGUAAUUCUCUCAAGAGAGUAUGUGAGUUUAGGGAGGAGAUAGUUGCUUUUGUCCACGAUUGCCACGACAACAAAACCGCUGACGUCACUCCACGAGGGUCCCUUACAGCUGGAGUUAGUAGACAUGUUCACAUCAGCUGAUCCGAGGCAGGCGCUUCGGUCUGUGUGAAGUUUUGGACUGAGCAUGUUAUUGCAGCGCAAAUCCCAAACAUAAGAGCAUUGGCGUGUUUUCUUUUAACAACGUUUUGAUCAACAUACACAUGUGGAUCCAGCUUCUCUUACAUUCAUUCCAGAAAAACGAACACAUGUUCCUCCUUGUCAAACGUGAAUCUUACAUUUACAUUUUACAUUUUAGUCAUUUAGCAGACGCUCUUAUCCAGAGCGACUUACAUUAGUGAAUGCAUACAUUUCAUACAAUUUCAUACAUUUUUUUUUCUUUUCUGUGCUUUUCUGUGCUUCAUCAAAGCCUGCGGGUUGCCCUGACUCCUGCCAAACUUUUCUGCUCUUUCCCUAAUCUAAACAGUGCAAUUUCUCCCAUUAGAAGGGAAACACGUGUGUGUGUGUGUGUGUGUGUUUUUCUUAUAUUAAGACAGGAAAGAAUGAACUGAAUAGAUAUAGAACAGAAUGUGAUGCUGGUCAACAGAGAUAUGCCAUGUUUCCUAUGUGUAAAAAAAUGAAAUGAAAUGAUAAAUCCAAACAAAAGAUGAAUGUAUGUACGUACAAUACACUGUGUUAAGGACAAAUGUGUUCCAUUAUUUCAAAAAGUUGAUGCACUGAAUUACUCUUAAAGCACUUCAAAUAAACUUUUAGCAACAUGUUAUUUAAAUAAAAGUGCUUUCUAAGAUUC